AUCAUUCACCAUCUGAUUGGCUGGUCAUGGAUGGACAUCUGCACUAGCUAAUAAGGCCCGGUGCUCUUGGAUCCCUAUAUAUGUAGUCAGUCCCCAUGACUGUUCCUUUCAGUUGACAUAAGAGUGGGAUUUAUGGUAGUGUGUUCAUGGAGUGCGCGUGUAAAAGGGACUUCACAACCAUUUCUUGCCCAGGGACCCCCUCCCAGGCAAACCAGUGACCCAUGGACUCCCAUCAUACUUUAACAAAAACAUCAUCAGCGAAUGCUGGGGAUCUGGGCCUGGUCGGGUGUCUGCAGUAUCUCCCCCCUGUCCGACUCAUCGAAGAAAAACUCUUAGUCUAAUCUGGAGGUUAUAUUAGCUGUGUCUGUGAACCCCUCCUGCAUCUGAACUUGCUACAUAGAGGGCACAGCAUGAUCAGAGGCAUGUUUUGAUGUGAGAGAGGAUGCCAACCCCCAGUCCAGUCAUCGCCACCUCACCCGCUCUUAAAAUAAUAGUGUCUCUAGUCAGCCCAAAGGUUAUGUCAUUGUGAUGAACUGAGAGAAUAUUAGGGUAGCACUGAGAUUCAUUAGUCAUAUGCUGCCUUCCCUGCUCCUCUUCUUACCUCUUUCCCUUUCUGUAUUUUACACCUCUCUCGCCACCUCUUUCUUCCUCUGUUUUUGUGCACAACAGAUGUGCAUUGAAGUAAAGAUUGAACUUGUAUUUAUAAUAUUACAAUUAUAAUAUUUAUAAUGCAUGUAUUUAUAACACUUGGAUAAUUAACUUCUUUCAAUUAAGCAUUUCACAUUCUCUACUGGGUGUAAUUAUUUCUCUUAUUCGAUGAAAUACUACACCUAUCCUGUGUUUAUCAGAUCAACGCAAAUGAAGGAAAUUAGAUAUUGAGAUGAACCGGUUUUAGAGUAUUUACAUGAUGCAUAGGAAGUGUAGUGUACUGUUUUUCAAUUUUAUUUCUGUAUAUAUGAAUUACAAAUCAACCUUUAACUAGUUAAAUCAUGUGUAACCAUUGAUGUCCCAGGACCAAGAUUGGUAAACACUGUUGAAGUGUAUAAUUGUAAUGCAUACAUGCAGACACAGCAUCAUUCAAAGACUGGAAUUUGAUACGCCUGUUAUUGGAUAUGACUGAAAUGAUCUCAAAGACAUUCAUACCUGAACUGCACCUUUAUUUGCCAUGGUAGAGUACAUGAUCAGUGAAUAUAUUAAAUGUACAGGCUACAAUGUGGGGAUCUCAUGUAUGGUAAUAACUACACGUAUAUACGACUUGCAUCCUUGGCACAAAGUUAUAUUACAUUCUAGUCGAUCCAUAGGCUUCAUCAAUGUCAUUCACUGUUUUGAAGUUGAUACAACUGGCUAUGAUAGUUGAGGUUCAUAGCUAGGUUCUGAACUACUAUGUAAACCAAACGUUUUAGGGUCCAUACACAGACCAGCUACAUAGCUAGCUACACAUCCAUAGGCAUUCAGGUAUUUUUAUCCUCCACUGCACAAUAAGCAAGAAAAUAGUUAGCUAGCUACGUUAUUUCAUCUAUCUGCAUUGCAUAUAUCAGCAAGGCAAGCUUACACAAUUGUACAUUCAAUUUGCAGUAAAUGCUUUAGCUAGCUAGAUUCUUUACAUCCACUGUUUCACAAGACGACAGCCUGGUUUGCUGGUUGUUUCAGGAGUCCCCAAAACAUUAAACUACCAGAAUGACAAGUUCAUACUCAUGUCGCAACCCACCACUGCGACCUGUACGCUCUCGUUGGCUGGCCCUAGCUUCAUACUCAUCGCCAAACCCACUGGCUCCAGGUCAUCUACAAGACCCUGCUAGGUAAAGUCCCCCCUUAUCUCCACUCACUGGUCACCAUAGCAGCACCCACCUGUA